AUUGAACGCUGGCGGCAUGCCUUACACAUGCAAGUCGAACGGCAGCAUGGGUGCUUGCACCUGAUGGCGAGUGGCGAACGGGUGAGUAAUGCAUCGGAACGUACCCGGAAGUGGGGGAUAACGUAGCGAAAGUUACGCUAAUACCGCAUAUUCUGUGAGCAGGAAAGCGGGGGAUCGCAAGACCUCGCGCUUCCGGAGCGGCCGAUGUCGGAUUAGCUAGUUGGUAGGGUAAAGGCCUACCAAGGCAACGAUCCGUAGCGGGUCUGAGAGGAUGAUCCGCCACACUGGGACUGAGACACGGCCCAGACUCCUACGGGAGGCAGCAGUGGGGAAUUUUGGACAAUGGGGGCGAACCCUGAUCCAGCAAUGCCGCGUGAGUGAAGAAGGCCCUCGGGUUGUAAAGCUCUUUUGUCAGGGAAGAAACGGUCUACUCUAAUACAGUGGGCUAAUGACGGUACCUGAAGAAUAAGCACCGGCUAACUACGUGCCAGC
rnacentral:rRNA from 1 species